rnacentral:misc_RNA from 1 species
AACGCACAUUGCGCCCGCCAGCAUUCUGGCGGGCAUGCCUGUUCGAGCGUCAUUUCACCCCUCGACCCCGCGCUUAGUGGGGACGGCGCUGGGGGACGGCACUAACCCGCCGCCCCUGAAAUGAAGUGGCGGCCCGUCCGCGGCGACCUCUGCGUAGUACCUCAACGCGCACCGGAAACCCGACGCGGCCACGCCGUAAAACACCCAACCUCUGAACGUUGACCUCGAAUCAGGUAGGACUACCCGCUGAACUUAA